CCUACGGGAUGCAGCAGUAGGGAAUCUUCCACAAUGGACGAAAGUCUGAUGGAGCAACGCCGCGUGAGUGAAGAAGGGUUUCGGCUCGUAAAGCUCUGUUGGUAGUGACGAAAGAUAGAGGUAGUAACUGGCCUUUAUUUGACGGUAAUUACUUAGAAAGUCACGGCUAACUACGUGCCAGCAGCCGCGGUAAUACGUAGGUGGCAAGCGUUGUCCGGAUUUAUUGGGCGUAAAGCGAGUGCAGGCGGUUCAAUAAGUCUGAUGUGAAAGCCUUCGGCUCAACCGGAGAAUUGCAUCAGAAACGGUUGAACUGGAGUGCAGAAGAGGAGAGUGGAACUCCAUGUGUAGCGGUGGAAUGCGUAGAUAUAUGGAAGAACACCAGUGGCGAAGGCGGCUCUCUGGUCUGCAACUGACGCUGAGGCUCGAAAGCAUGGGUAGCGAACAGGAUUAGAUACCCGGGUAGUC
rnacentral:rRNA from 1 species